AAGACCUUGCGCUUUUGGAGCGGCCGAUGUCUGAUUAGCUAGUUGGUGGGGUAAUGGCCUACCAAAGCUUCGAUCAGUAGCUGGUCUGAGAGGACGGCCAGCCACACUGGGACUGAGACACGGCCCAGACUCCUACGGGAGGCAGCAGUGGGGAAUUUUGGACAAUGGGCGCAAGCCUGAUCCAGCCAUGCCGCGUGAGUGAAGAAGGCCUUCGGGUUGUAAAGCUCUUUCAGCCGGAACGAAACGGUUACGGAUAACACCCGUGACUACUGACGGUACCGGAAGAAGAAGCACCGGCUAACUACGUGCCAGCAGCCGCGGUAAUACGUAGGGUGCGAGCGUUAAUCGGAAUUACUGGGCGUAAAGCGUGCGCAGGUGGUUUUGUAAGUCAGAUGUGAAAGCCCCGGGCUCAACCUGGGAACU
rnacentral:rRNA from 1 species